CCCUAACCUUACUAUUAUUAUUAUUUUCCCCUCCAGAUAUACGCUUAGCAGCAGAAUUUGCAGCCAUGAAAAGGGCAGCCAUAUCAGCAGCAGUGACAACAGAAUUCACUCUCUUCAUGGGGAACAUGAUAUAAACAUUACCAAAUUCGACCUCCUCAUCAGCAGAAAGAGCAGAGAACCUCCUACCAAUAUGAAGAGAUUGAGAGUUUACCAAGAAGAAGUUAGGACACUCUAGCAUGAGCUCUGCUGCUUUAACGGGCUGGCGAAACUGCCUAACUUCGCCGGUAGGAAGGACAACCCUUGCGGCCUUGGAGUUCUUGAUCAAAGGAGUGCCUAGAGUGCAAGAAACGUAAUUACCCAUGAUGACAAAACAAGAAUGGAAUUAAAAAGAAGAGGUUUCUGCAAUAUUUGGUGAAGGAAAACUGGAAUUGGUUAAGGGUUUGUUGAGAAAAAAAUGAGAAGGGCAUUGUAG
rnacentral:misc_RNA from 1 species